GUCAGGAUGGCCGAGUGGUCUAAGGCGCCAGACUCAAGCAUUGCUUCCUCAGUUGGAGGAUUCUGGUCUCCGAAUGGAGGCGUGGGUUCGAAUCCCACUUCUGACA
rnacentral:tRNA from 1 species